UUGGAGGGCAAGUCUGGUGCCAGCAGCCGCGGUAAUUCCAGCUCCAAUAGCGUAUAUUAAAGUUGUUGCAGUUAAAAAGUUCGUAGUUGAAUUUCGGGUUAGUAGGCUGGUUAUAUGGAACUCGCGUCUGCAGGUUUAUGUAACUGGUCUUACUAAUUCCUCCUUCCUGAUGAACUGUAGUGCCAUUAAUUUGGUGUUGCAGGGAAUCUGGACUGUUACUUUGAAAAAUUAGAGUGUUUAAAGCAGGCUAACGCUUGAAUACAUUAGCAUGGAAUAAUGAAAUAGGACGUUCGAUCCUAUUUUGUUGGUUUCUAGGAUUGACGUAAUGAUUAAUAGGGAUAGUUGGGGGCAUUAGUAUUCAAUUGUCAGAGGUGAAAUUCUUGGAUUUAUUGAAGACUAACUACUGCGAAAGCAUUUGCCAAGGAUGUUUUCAUUAAUCAAGAACGAAAGUUAGGGGAUCGAAGACGAUCAGAUACCGUCGUAGUCUUAACCAUAAACUAUGCCGACUAGGGAUCGGAUGAUGUUAAUUUUUAAUGUACUC
rnacentral:rRNA from 1 species